rnacentral:rRNA from 1 species
GGGCGUAAAGAGCUCGUAGGCGGUUUGUCGCGUCUGCUGUGAAAUCCCGAGGCUCAACCUCGGGCCUGCAGUGGGUACGGGCAAACUAGAGUGUGGUAGGGGAGAUUGGAACUCCUGGUGUAGCGGUGGAAUGCGCAGAUAUCAGGAAGAACACCGAUGGCGAAGGCAGAUCUCUGGGCCAUUACUGACGCUGAGGAGCGAAAGCGUGGGGAGCGAACAGGAUUAGAUACCCUGGUAGUCCACGCCGUAAACGUUGGGAACUAGAUGUAGGGUCCAUUCCACGGAUUCUGUGUCGCAGCUAACGCAUUAAGUUCCCCGCCUGGGGAGUACGGCCGCAAGGCUAAAACUCAAAGGAAUUGACGGGGGCCCGCACAAGCGGCGGAGCAUGCGGAUUAAUUCGAUGCAACGCGAAGAACCUUACCAAGGCUUGACAUAAACCGGAAAAGCGUAGAAAUACGCUCCCCGCAAGGUCGGUAUACAGGUGGUGCAUGGUUGUCGUCAGCUCGUGUCGUGAGAUGUUGGGUUAAGUCCCGCAACGAGCGCAACCCUCGUCCUAUGUUGCCAGCACGUAAUGGUGGGAACUCAUGGGAGACUGCCGGGGUCAACUCGGAGGAAGGUAAU